AUGCGGCACAACCAACAACACAACCAAGACAGGACCAUAAGACCCCCACAACGAAUAAAUAACGGCCCUCCCCCACACAGAAAAACUUGCACUGUCCUCAGGGCAUGAAAAGGAUAAAGUUAGAGAAAGUCCCUGAAUAGGAGUGCAGUCAACACGACGACGGCGGUAGAGAGAGCGGCGACCAAGAGCCUGUAAACCAAACAACCACAAAACCCACA
rnacentral:lncRNA from 1 species